AUACGACCGUACCGCAAACCGACACUGGUGCGCGAGAUGAGUAUUCUAAGGCGCUUGAGAGAACUCAGGAGAAGGAACUCGGCAAAUUGACACCGUAACUUCGGAAGAAGGUGUGCCCUAUUAGUGUGUAGUGAACAACGAAGCAUGAAUGGGUUGCAAAAAAUCGGUGGCUGCGACUGUUUAUUAAAAACACAGCACUCUGCAAACACGAAAGUGGACGUAUAGGGUGUGACGCCUGCCCGGUGCUGGAAGAUUAAAUGAUGGGGUGCAAGCUCUUGAUUGAAGUCCCAGUAAACGGCGGCCGUAACUAUAACGGUCCUAAGGUAGCGAAAUUCCUUGUCGGGUAAGUUCCGACCUGCACGAAUGGCGUAACGAUGGCCACACUGUCUCCUCCUGAGACUCAGCGAAGUUGAAAUGUUUGUGAUGAUGCAAUCUCCCCGCGGAAAGACGGAAAGACCCCAUGAACCUUUACUGUAGCUUUGUAUUGGACUUUGAACAGAUCUGUGUAGGAUAGGUGGGAGGCUUUGAAGCAGGGUCGCUAGAUCUUGUGGAGCCAACGUUGAAAUACCACCCUGGUGUGUUUGAGGUUCUAACCUAGGUCCAUUAUCUGGAUCGGGGACAGUGCAUGUAGGCAGUUUGACUGGGGCGGUCUCCUCCCAAAGCGUAACGGAGGAGUUCGAAGGUACGCUAGUUACGGUCGGACAUCGUGACGAUAGUGCAAUGGCAUAAGCGUGCUUAACUGCGAGACUGACAAGUCGAGCAGAUGCGAAAGCAGGACAUAGUGAUCCGGUGGUUCUGUAUGGAAGGGCCAUCACUCAACGGAUAAAAGGUACUCUGGGGAUAACAGGCUGAUACCGCCCAAGAGUUCAUAUCGACGGCGGUGUUUGGCACCUCGAUGUCGGCUCAUCUCAUCCUGGGGCUGUAGCCGGUCCCAAGGGUAUGGCUGUUCGCCAUUUAAAGAGGUACGUGAGCUGGGUUUAAAACGUCGUGAGACAGUUUGGUCCCUAUCUUCCGUGGGCGCUGCAGAUUUGAGGAAGCCUGCUCCUAGUACGAGAGGACCGGAGUGGACACACCUCUGGUGUAUCGGUUGUCACGCCAGUGGCAUUGCCGAGUUGCUAAGUGUGGAAGAGAUAACCGCUGAAAGCAUCUAAGCGGGAAACUCGUUUCAAGAUGAGAUCUGCCGGGGCCUUGAGCCCCCUAAAGAGUCGUUCAAGACCAGGACGUUGAUAGGUCAGGUGUGGAAGCUA
rnacentral:rRNA from 1 species